rnacentral:rRNA from 1 species
AGUGAACGCUGGCGGCAGGCCUAAUACAUGCAAGUCGAACGGCAGCACAGCAGAGCUUGCUCUGUGGGUGGCGAGUGGCGGACGGGUGAGGAAUACAUGGGAAUCUGCCCAGUCGUGGGGGAUAACGUAUGGAAACGUACGCUAAUACCGCAUGCGCCCUACGGGGGAAAGCCGGGGACCGCAAGGCCUGGCGCGAUUGGAUGAGCCCAUGUUCGAUUAGCUAGUUGGCGGGGUAAAGGCCCACCAAGGCGACGAUCGAUAGCUGGUCUGAGAGGAUGAUCAGCCACACUGGAACUGAGACACGGUCCAGACUCCUACGGGAGGCAGCAGUAGGGGAAUAUUGGACAAUGGGGGCGAACCCUGAUCCAGCCAUGCCGCGUGAGUGAAGAAGGCCCUCGGGUUGUAAAGCUCUUUUGUCCGGAAAGAAAAGCAUCUGGUUAAUACCCGGGUGUUCUGACGGUACCGGAAGAAUAAGCACCGGCUAACUUCGUGCC